UGGUCCCGGGGUUCAAGACGGGUCGCUGAUGACCAUUACGCCAGCAUCCUUGCGGAGCCACCGGCAGCUUGACGCAUCUUGCGGACGCGACCUCGGUCCCCACGAGAGUAUCGUACGGUGGGCUAUAACACCCCCCCGGAGGGGGGCCACGUUCCCACCGUUCUUAUCCUCCCACGAGAACCGAUGCUGGCCUGAGCCGGGCGGAGUGCACAGGGGAGAACCCCUGAUGAGCCGCCCGGCGCAAGUCUGGUCACAAGCGCUUCCCUUUCAACAAUUUCACGUACUGUUUAACCCCCUUUUCAAGGUGCUUUUCAUCUUUCGAUCACUCUACUUGUGCGCUAUCGGUCUCUGGCCGGUAUUUAGCUUUAGAAGAGAUUUACCUCCCAUUUUGAGCAGCAUUCCCAAACUACUCGACUCGUUGAAGGAGCUUCACACAGGCUUGGUGUCCAUCCAUACGGGGCUCUCACCCUCUAUGGCGUCCCGUUCCAGGGAACUCGGAAGGCACCUCGCCAGAAGCAUCCUCUGCAAAUUACAAUGCGGGCCGGAGCCAGCUUUCAAAUUUGAGCUGUUGCCGCUUCACUCGCCGUUACUAGGGCAAUCCCUGUUGGUUUCUUUUCCUCCGCUAUUUGGGAUAUGCA
rnacentral:rRNA from 1 species